AUUGAACGCUGGCGGCAGGCCUAACACAUGCAAGUCGAACGGUAACAGGAAGAAGCUUGCUUCUUUGCUGACGAGUGGCGGACGGGUGAGUAGUGUCUGGGAAACUGCCUGAUGGAGGGGGAUAACUACUGGAAACGGUAGCUAAUACCGCAUAACGUCGCAAGACCAAAGAGGGGGACCUUCGGGCCUCUUGCCAUCGGAUGUGCCCAGAUGGGAUUAGCUAGUAGGUGGGGUAACGGCUCACCUAGGCGACGAUCCCUAGCUGGUCUGAGAGGAUGACCAGCCACACUGGAACUGAGACACGGUCCAGACUCCUACGGGAGGCAGCAGUGGGGAAUAUUGCACAAUGGGCGCAAGCCUGAUGCAGCCAUGCCGCGUGUAUGAAGAAGGCCUUCGGGUUGUAAAGUACUUUCAGCGGGGAGGAAGGGAGUAAAGUUAAUACCUUUACUCAUUGACGUUACCCGCAGAAGAAGCACCGGCUAACUCCGUG
rnacentral:rRNA from 1 species